AUGGCAGCGUCCGGCCAGUGGAGGAGGUGGCAUUUGAGUGGAGGCCCCCAGGAGAGGUGGCCCAUGGCAGGGCUUGAAUUCUCGCCAGGUGGAGCUUGCUGGAACUCCAGCUUCACUGCUCUCUCGCCGUGUGGCUGUGUGACCUCAGCCAGAUGACCUGCCUCUCUGUGCUUCGGUUUCCUUAUCUGUAAAACAGGAAUAACGGUGGUGAGUCACUCGAGGGUUCUGCGAAGACUUGGUGACGUAACGCUUGCGAAGUGCUUGGCACAGAGUAGGUCCACGAAUAGUUGUCCCUUUUCCUUUUCCCUUCCUGAGUCCCCCCACCCCACCUGUCAAACACCAUGCCCCCGCUCCUCAGGCGGCAGGAAGCAGGAUCGGAGGAGCGUUUCUGCACCCGUCAGAGUAUUUAUAGCUGUGUGCUGUCAGCCCGAUGUUGUUUUUCGGUUGCAUAUAUAUUUUUACAUUUUCCACCGUCACACAUGGUUUCUCAGUGCGGUUGAGAAGCAGCGGGGGUGGAGGGUGGUGGAUGCAGAGAGUGGAGAGUGUAGGAGGCGGAGCCGGAUGGCCCAGGACAGCACCGAGGGACGGCCUCGGUCACUUCUGUCUCAGCUCAGAAGCCAUCGAUGGUUCCCUAUUACCCUCUGCCCGCAGCCCGGGCUCCUUCGCCAUGGGUCCAGGCCCUCCCGAGAAGGAUUACAUGUAGGAAUGAUACUGCGCACCGCAGCUGCGUUUCUCACCACUGGCUCUCUCCACUCCCCGCGUCUGAGCCACUUUCUUCCCCGAGUGCAUAACCAGGGGAAAGCGAACCGGACGUAGCUCUGCUACUCACCAGCUGCGUGACCUCAAGCAAGUUUCUUUACCUUUCUGAGCCAACGUUUCCUUUCCUGUGAGACAGGAGCACUAACUCCAGUGUCCUGGAGCUGCCGUGAGGAUUGAGUGUACAGGCGCCUGCCCACGAAUCCAUGGUAGCCAUUGUUAGGCGCGCUUCAGUCGCGUGUCUCCAGGCCUUUGCACAGGCCGUUCCCUCUGCCAGGAAUCCCCAGGCCACCUCUUCAGGGAGUCCUCCGGGCCUACUGCUCCCCCGCACCUCAGCCCAUCCACUCUGGGAGGGGACUAGGAGAGUUCUUUGUAACGAAAUUCUUUCUCCUCUAAAAAUAGAUGUCACACUCCUUGCUUAUAAAAAUAAUCCGUACCCUCCCAGUACCAAGCCUUCCCGUGUUCCUGCUCUAUCCUCACACACUUCCCCGGGAAGUGGGUACCAUGU
rnacentral:lncRNA from 10 species